GGGAGAGGAAACUUGACGCUUCUGGGCCUCCAUUCGCCAGGGCCUCGCCCGAGACGCCGAAAGGAGCCUGUUUGUGUGCUGCGGCCGCCCCGUGACACUGGAUCUUGUCUUCUGGCCGGCGCCUCGAUUCCUGCCCAGCUGGAUUUGGGGGGCGACAGCGCCCGGCGCAGGGCGGAGAGCAAAUGAGACUGCGAAGGAGCAUAAAAUGAAUAGACAAUACAACCAACCAAAGACCGGGGGCAGCAGCACGCCAGCAAGACGGCAUCUUCUCCUCCCCAGCCUAGAAGCCCUGUGAAAUCGAGGAUCUUCCCCCUAAAACACACACACACGAGAUAUGUGCAAUCAAGCUGCCACCGCUUGGUAAAAAGCUCACGGUGCCUAACCCAAAAGGAUCAGGAGCAGAUCCUUGAAUCAGCUGUCACCUCUUCUAUAGAAUGGGAUGUUUUUUUUUCCUUCCUCCUUAACCUGCGCUGGAAAUUGCCGUUGGCUUUGUACAUCUCUAUAGAGGGAGGCUAAAGAGUCUUGCGUGAGAAUGAAGCAAUUUACAAUGCAAAUAGAGGCCUGUGGAGGGACGGAUGCUGCUGCUCACUCGUAACCGCUUGCUGCACCUUAAUAGCUGGUUUUAUUUUUUGAUAUUAAUAGAUGAAUUGUUGGCUAACGCUGUCGGAGAUUACUUGCUGAAAGGAAAGAAAAGUUCGGAAUAAACUUUGAAAGCAACAGAUCUCGUUUGGAUGUUUUAGCCGCACACACAAACAGAAACCAGGUCAUAUUUACAUACAAGAAGGAAUCUUAUGCUCGGCAAGUGUCCUGGAGGACUACUCUUCGGUACUGCCAGAGAGAUCGGGAUCUGGAAUCUGGCCAGAGGAAGACAGAGGCGUGUGAGGGAAGUGAGUUGUUAUCUUUGGUUAUCUAGCUGUAUGAGUGUAUUGGUCUUCAUAAAGCUAGAUAACCGAAAGUAAAAACUCCUUCAAGAUCGCCGGGGAGCAUGUGAGAAUGAAAGACUACAACCAAGAGACAGUAAAAACCAGAAAGGUCAGGAAUACUUAUUGAAUCUAACUUUGUUUUUGUUUUUGUUUUUGUUCUUCUUCCUUAUGAUUAAAGGUGGGAUUAGAGGAAAUUAAGUGACACACAGGGGCCGAACCAUAAAGGUGCCAGGUACUCUGAGAGGGGUUGUUAGAGCUGCAAAGGAGAAUUGUAUAGUGCUCAUGAGUCAAGAUGCAUGUGCAGUUUGUCCUACUUUAAGACAAAAGUUAAUAUGAGGGGUUUUCUUUUUUCCCCCCUCCCUUAGAAAGCUGUUGUAGAGAGGUCUGGUAUCUAGUUCAAAAAUGAUUCCAUAAUCUGCAGAAGUAGGCUAUUUCCUUCUGAGGUUCCCCUCCCCUGGAAAAAAAAAAAAAAGGAAGAUUAUGCGGGAGGACUACAUGUAUUGGGGUUGUGUGUCAAAUUCUAUUGCAUUAGACUUUCAGAAAAGUUUAUGAUGGAAGGUUAAUAAUUUGUAUCUACUAAGGACAUACAGCUAGCAGAGAAAAUGCAAAAAAAAAAAAAAAGGCAAAGGCUGAUUUUUUAUUCUUCUAUUCAAAAUACAAGGACAGAUGCUUCUCUGUUCCAAGAGGGUUUCCUUGAGGAAGCUACUGAAGCAGAAAGACAUGAUGGAGACGAGAUCGCCUCCCCUCUUGUCAAAGUGUUAAAAAAAUGUUCUGUCUUACUCGGCGCCUAGCAUUGGAAAUGAAAGUGACAUUUACGCCACAACCCACGUGUGCGCCUCCUCUCUUUUUGUUUAAGGAUGAUCAGGUCUAUCCAGGAAACAGCUCUGGCAUCCCAAACUGAAAUAAUUAGGACGUAUAUAGACCUGACAAAAAUGGAAAGGGGGUGGGGAAUCUGAGGGUCUGUCUUGCCUAAUUGAUUCCGAUAAACGGAAUGCAGGAGAUGUGAACGGCAGGACGCUCCGAUUCCCACGCUCGGGGGCAAGUGGUAAAGCGGGCCCGGCAGCCUAUGACAGACAGCCCUGUUGGGGGGUGGGGGCAUGAAAAAAACAUCAAGUGCACACACCAUACUCAUCUCCAUCGCUUAAGAAAGUGGAGGCAUUUCCCACCCACAGCCAUCUGCAGCCUCCCAAAUGGUAGCACCAACUGGUCUGUAGCUGCUGCAUACUGUCUGUUUCUCUUAAUUUUAUGACCACUGUUUAAUCUGGCCAUAAUUAAGUUCAGCUUUCUUCUUGGGUUCAGAUUUUCAAUAUUUUAGGAAAGCUAGUGGGAAAGCAGUUCCAGGAGAGUCCCGUUUCUGCCUGCCCUUCACGUCAAAUUCUCAGUCUGUACUUUUGGCCUUGUGAUCACCUUUGGGCUCUUGCUUUGGAUGGAUUAUAUCUAAAAACAUGUACUCUGCAACAGACAUUAUUAUCACUUCCCCAGGCUGUUUACCCCCCUAACAUGAUACAGCUAGGAAUUUGGCGUGAUUAUGCUAGUAGACACACACUGGAAGUAAAACUAUAAAAUCAUCAGCCUACAUGCAGAAAGUUAAUUACAAUAGCGGUAUGAUAAGAGGUGGGUUUGGUGUAAUCCCAGUGAGAUGCGUUCUAUACAGCCAUUUUUAUUGAAUCUCAAAGUGACUAUACUUAGCAGAAACUUUGGGGCUUUGGAGGUCCCCAUUGUAAUCUUCCCCUAAAAGUUCUUACAUUUUUCUCCAUGUGUCAGAGCAGACAUUUGGAUAGGCAUUAAACAUAAAUACAAACAUUGCAGUAAGCAAAUGCCUAAAAAUGGCCUGUUACCUUCCAUGUGGCCUGGAUUACUGACACUCUCAAAUCCCAAAUAUGCAGUUAUUCUCCAAAAGCAUUACAUUUUCCUUUGUAGCUUCAGCACCUUCUAAGACUCCAGACUGGAGAAGCCUGUAAAACCACUGUUGGUUUCCGUUAGAAACUCCGAGAGACUUUAUUAACGUAAAUUCUCAUUAUGGCUGCUGAACACGUGCCAAAGUUUUACUACUGUAGUGACCGUUGAGAAGACCCUUGUUUAUUUACAUUUGAAGCACUGUUUGUGCAAACAACCUUUCAUUGUUAAGUGCCUGUAUUCCUUUCAUUUAGUUCAUGUCCAGGGGUGCUAUUUACCUAGAACCAUUGUCUACUACAAUUAACAUUUACAUUACAAAGUGUGUGGUUUUCUUUCUCAAGGAGGUUCAAUUAAGGCAAUAAGAUGUUUGCUAGGGAAACCUAUUGUUUACUGAAAGCACUCAAUGGAGUCAAAUUACUGAAGCUUUUGCUUACAUCUUGGUCUUUUAUGUAAAUGUGUUAAAUAUAGCGUCUAAGGAAAAUAAACAAUAUUAUAAUUAUGUGUUUGCCAUUGUCAUAUCAAACUUGCUUUGUACCAUACUAAUGUUACAUGACUUACCGAUCAAUAAAAAUACAUUUCAAUGUUA
rnacentral:lncRNA from 1 species